CGGGAACUGACAUGAAUUGACCUCUGGCAGUUAAGGAGCAACAUUAUUCAUUUGGAGUCGUGUUUCUGGCCUCCCUGGAGAAUCUGUACAGCGGGUGAGGGUCAGCCACCUCCAACCCCUCCCCACUGCCUCCAUUCCUACUGCCCAGCUGUUUGUGUCCUGCUUCCCAAUGCUCCAAGGCAGGCUGACCAGAAAAGUGAAUCGUGGAUGGAGAGAUUCUGCUUUGGAAUAACCUAAGGAGGAGAGGAAUGAUGGAGGGAUAAUACUGUGGAGGAAGAGAAAAAAAACAAAGGUACACAAUACACACAAUACGCACCCAUUGGACCAAUGGGUGUGUGUUGUGUGGAGCAGGCAUGACACUUGAUGCU